rnacentral:rRNA from 1 species
UGGGGAAUCUUGCACAAUGGGCGAAAGCCUGAUGCAGCGACACCGCGUGAAGGAUGACGGCCUUCGGGUUGUAAACUUCUUUUGUAGGGGAAGAAAAUGACGGUACCCUGCGAAUAAGCCACGGCUAACUCUGUGCCAGCAGCCGCGGUAAGACAGAGGUGGCGAGCGUUGUUCGGAAUUACUGGGCUUAAAGGGCGCGUAGGCGGUGAUAUAAGUCUAGGGUGGAAUACUGCAGCUUAACUGCGGAACUGCCUUGGAAACUGUAUUGCUUGAGUCGGACAGGGGAAGGCGGAAUUCCAGGUGUAGCGGUGAAAUGCGUAGAUAUCUGGAGGAAGGCCUGUGGUGAAGACGGCCUUCUGGGUCUUGACUGACGCUGAGGCGCGAAAGCGUGGGGAGCAAACAGG